GGGCCCGUAGCUCAGUCAGGAUAGAGCGCCUGGCUUCGGACCAGGUGGUCGCAGGUUCGAAGGAAGGGGGGCAAA
rnacentral:tRNA from 1 species